GGACAGCAUCUGGCAGACCAAAGAGUGCUGAAACGCUAGGCAAAGUAAUCGAGCAGCAACUCAAGACACCCUGCAUUACAAGGUGGAAUUCUCUGCAUGACUCCUUGAGUCAGUUGUCAUUCUUGCGUGACAAGCUCCCUGAUGCCAUGACUGCCCUGCAACUUCCACCAUUCAGGGAAGUCGAACUGGACUACAUUGAGGAAUUUUGCAGAGUGUUACGACCGAUUGCCAUCUCAAUAGAUCGGCUUCAAGGGCAAUCUGCAUGCUAUUAUGGUGAGCUGUUGCCAACACUUUUCACCAUUCAAGCCAAGCUGGAGGAUCUGCAAGCAUCAAACUUGAGGUACUGCUCACACGUUCUUCAAGCAACCAUAGCAGGGUUCAAAAAACGCUUCCACAAUUUUCUGAUGCUGGAGCAUGACGUGAAUGAGGCCAUCCUGGCAACCACAACACACCCAUACUUUAAGAUGAGGUGGUUACCCCAGAGGUUGGCUUCUGAGAAGAGGCGAAUACAGCAACUGAUGCUGCACUCAGCAGACGAACUCGGACUUCUCUCAGAGAGUGACGGGACCACACCGAGCACAGAGGAGAAUGACGAAUUCUUUGUGUUCACUGAUCAAGGAACAGUCAACCAGCUGGAGGCCGAGGCCUUGCCCAGCCACAGCAAGGCGGAACUGGAGACCCUUCAUUUUUUGGAGGAUCCCAGAAAAGACCUGGCUUCACUAAAUGCAUACCCUUUGAUGAAACAGCUUUUUGUGAGAUUUAACACAACCCUACCAUCCUCAGCCCCGGUUGAGCGCCUGUUUUCUUUUGCUGGCUUAGUGAACCGGCCUCACAGAAGGUCAUUAACACCAGAUAUGCUGGAGAAGUUGGUUGUCCUGAAGAACAACUGAUCUGUUUUUCUGUUUAAUAUGGAUAAAAUAAAAUGGAUUUGAAUGUAGCGUUA